AUUGAACGCUGGCGGCAGGCCUAACACAUGCAAGUCGAGCGGAGCGGCGGACGGGUGAGUAAUGCCUAGGAAUCUGCAUGGUAGUGGGGGAUAAGGUACGGAAACGGGCGCUGAUACAGCAUACUAUCAGAUGAGCCUGGGGCGGAUUAGCUAGUUGGUGGGGUAAAGGCCUACCAAGGCGACGAUCCGUAACUGGUCUGAGAGGAUGAUCAGUCAGACUGGAACUGAGACACGGUCCAGACUCCUACGGGAGGCAGCAGUGGGGAAUAUUGGACAAUGGGCGAAAGCCUGAUCCAGCCAUGCCGCGUGUGUGAAGAAGGUCUUCGGAUUGUAAAGUACUUUAAGUUGGGAGGCGUUACCAGCAGAAUAAGCACCGGCUAACUUCGUGCCAGCAGCCGCGGUAAUAC
rnacentral:rRNA from 1 species